rnacentral:lncRNA from 1 species
GAUUAGUCCAUAUUUUUGCAUAUUUAAGUGCCUAUUUUUUGUUUAUUUUCGUAGUAUUAAUCGCUUAUUUAUUUUAUUUCAGGAAAUUGUAGAUAAAUAAAGAAAGAAGAGAAAAUGCAAGAAAAAGAAAAAAAGGGUUGGAAAGUAAAGGACACAUGGAUGGCCACAAUUCUCCCAACACUCAAGGCACAUGGAUGGUCAAGAUUGAGCCUCCCUACCCCUAAACCCUAAUUCUUUAGUUAUAAAUACCCCUCUUCUUUUACUUGUAAUCACCAACCUAGUAACCUAGCCACCUACUCUCCUUUUCUACCUAGUGAUUUCUAUAGUUAGUAUCUUAGAUAGAUUUACAUUUUGCUAGCCCCAAUUUCCUUUCCAAGUUUGUACACACUUUUUAAUUUCUAUGCAAAUCUCUUUUAUCUUAAUCUUGUAUUGUCUUUUUAAUAUAUGUUCUCCAAGAUUGAAUGACUCUUCUAAGUACCACCACAUGCUUUUAAGCUUUUGGGAAAUGAAGAAUCAUUAAACUUGUGAUUAGUGUAGAUUUCUUACUUUUUAGAUUUAAAUUUUGGUAGAAACUUAAACUCUAGCACAAAAAUGAUUUGUGAGGGGGUUAAAAAUCUAGAUUUAAAGAGCAUCAUAUAUUAGUGUUAACUCAAGAUUUCGUUUGUUUUUAUUAUACAAAAUCAGCAGCCACGGAAUGAUUUGCUCUGUUUCUAAACAACAACCCACCUCCCCUGUUUUCAUUAGUUUUUUUUUAAUAAAUACGAAGUUGUGUGCAUCCCACUGUUCUGAUCUUCUUUUACACAAGUUAGGGUCGAUUUAGCUAAUUGUUUUUGCUGCUUUGUCUCUUGCUUCUCGAGUCAUGGCCCUGUUUAGGUUCUGAAUUUCCGAGUUGUGUUGAGUUGGUUAUCACCGAGUCUGUCGCUUUCUUUCCUUCUUUUUCACUACUGCGUUUUUCUUGAUGAUUUCACCGAGUAGGAGUCGAGUCUGUGUUCACGAGUUUAAGCACCGAGUCAGCCCCGCAGUUGUUAAGUUACCGAGUUGACUCCUGUGUUUUCUGCUGUGCUUGAGUCUGUUCCUAGUUUAUGUUUCUGCUCUUUUUCGUUUUUGAACUGAGUCACCGAGUCUGCCAUGUCUGCUUCAUUAGUUGGGUUUGGUUUAUGUUGCUUAGAAUCAGGUCUUUAGUGUGCUUUGUCUUUAAUUUCGUUGCUGUGUUUUGUUGCUGCAGUAUAGUCGAGUCAUUGGUUCGUUCUGUUGUGAGUUUUGCUUGUUUCCGAGUCCACUGUUUUAGCGAGUUUAAGGUGCUGGGUUUGUUUCAAAUCGCCGAGUUCUUCUUUUCCUGCUGUUUGCUGUUGCCGAGUCACUUCCUCUGUAUUUUGUUACCACUUCGUCACUUUCCGAUUAACCGAGUCUUUGUCGUAGUUUUCAGUUUUGAGUUUUGAUGAUUUACUGGGUUAGAUGCGGCCACAGUUUUGUUCAAGUCUACGGCCUGAGUUUACAGAAGUGUGUUUAAGUAAUAGUAUAAUAAGGGCCUGCAUUUUUCCUUUUGGUUGUUGCUGAGUGCGAUUGACUUUAUAUGUUUAACUAGUCAAAUUAUGCCUGGAUUUGUACGCGUUAUAACUUCACUGUUCUAAAAUGAAUCUUGGUUUAUAAAAAGCUUGUGUGGAUUUGCGGCUGGUUACUUAGUUUAAUUAAUUUCUUUUUAGACUUACAUUUUAGAUUUCGUUAAAAGAAAAACCUCCCUCACAAAUUUAUUGUUCUAAUUCGCCUAGAUUUAAAGUAAAGGAAUUUGCGGAAAAUAAUUUUAAUCUCUGUGGACGAAUCAUAAAUAUUAAAACGGUGAUCGUGCGCUUGCGAUUUUAUAAGGUAUAUUUUCUAGCACAUCAGUAACAAAUAUUGCAAUAAUUUGCUCAUUUGUAACAAAUCUUGCACUCCGUCCCUGUCUCAAGACAUUAAUUCUCCUAUUCAGUUGAGAAAAUCUAAAAUUUGCGAUGUCAAGUUGUCGAGACUAGUGCCUCAUUAAUUCAUUCCUAGACACAAUAAUUUCAUUCUAAAUUUGUGCCUUUUGAGCCACCAUGUCUUCAAGCAUCACCAUCUAUUUCCGCUUGACGGAAAUGACGAGCAUUGAUCAUUGCUACUGAAAUACUUAUAAUUUGAUUCUUUCAACAAAAAAGAAACCCAUAAGUUGAUGACUAUAAUUAUCCCCAUCUUCCAUUAUUUUCUUAAAUUCUUGAUAUUGUUUCUUACUUUGUAGUUUGAUUUGUUUUUCUUCCUCUAUGUUUUGUCUUUUACUCGUGUUCAUCUGGGAUAUUUAUAGGCGUGAGGCAUUCCGACCGCCCCGCUCAAACUCGAUCCAAUCCCCGCUUCGUUUGGAUCGGAAAAUCAGUGAAUUUUUCGAAGAAAGAGGGAACAUAAUUUUUUUAAAAAAAUUGGGAUCGGGACGGGUCGGGAUUUUGUAUCUCCUUGCCACAAUCCCCCGACCCUGAUGCAAUAAAUAAUAAUAAUAAUAAUAUAUUUAUGUAAAUUUAUACUAAAUAAAUUAAAAACAAAUAACAUAUUCUUACCCAAAUCAAGGUCCAAAUUCAUGUCAUAACCCAAUUCAAACUCCUUUGAAUCCUCCCGGUUUCAAUGAUUCGGAUAAACGCCUCAAUUCCUUAGAAAAGAGUUUGGAAGCCUUAGUGAAAUCGCAAACUAAUUUGACUCAAUCACAACAAACUUUCAUGACAACCCUAACCCAAGAUAGGCAAAUUUUGCAUUCUAACGUGCAAGCCGUGUCUAAGUUAGAGGCCCAAUUGAGUCAAUUAGCUAGCGCGUUGUGUGAGCGAGAAAAGAACAAGUUGCCAAGUCAACCCGAGGUCAAUCCUAAGUUUCCUCUCAAUCAAAGACCUCACGAGAAUGUUAAUGCGAUUAUUUCUCUAAGGUCGGGAAACCAAGUGGAUAACAAAGUUGGUGAGAACGUGAAUAAAAAUGAGGAGUCGAUUCCUGAACCAAAUCCUUCUUUGUCGAAUCCUAUCCCGGAUAAGCCCGAAUGUUCUAGAGUCCGUGAGUCUAUGAAUGAACCUAGUUCCGGGUCCAUUUCUCAAAAGCCCAACGAAGAAGUUUAUAAGCCGAGGGUUCCUUACCCACAAAGACUCAUUCCUCCUAAACAAUCGGCCCAAAUGGAACAAAUUCUAGAGGUUUUUAAACAAGUCAAGAUUAACAUUCCUCUUUUAGAUGCCAUUCAACAAGUUCCUUCUUAUGCCAAGUGUCUAAAAGAUUUGUGUACCCAUAAGAGAACCACUCAUGUUCCUAAGAAAGCCUUUUUGACCUCACAAGUAAGCUCGAUUCUCUCGAAUCAAAUUCCCGUGAAAUAUAAGGACCCCGGUUGUCCUACAAUUUCUUGUGUCAUAGGCAACACUUUUGUGGAUAAAGCUUUACUUGAUUUAGGAGCGAGUGUGAAUCUUCUUCCUUUCUCGGUCUAUCAAGCCCUAGGAUUAGGGGAUCUCAAGACCACCAAUAUGACCCUUCAACUUGCCGAUCGUUCCAUUAAAAUGCCAAAGGGGAUUAUUGAGGACGUGUUGAUAAAAAUCGGUGAUUUUAUCUUUCCCGUUGACUUUGUUGUUCUCGAGACUCAACCCGUCUCGAAUCCUAAGAACCAAAUUCCUAUCAUUUUAGGACGACCUUUUCUUGCUACAUCCAAUGCCUUAAUCAAUUGUAGGAAUGGUUCAAUGAAACUCACCUUUGGAAACAUGACCAUUGACUUAAACAUUUUCAACAUAGGAAAAGAACCCAAUGAGCUUUAUGAACAACCGAUAGGGGUUAAUGUGGUCAACAAGUUUGUCACAUGGUCCAGUUUUGAGGAUAGUGAGAUUGAGUCUCUUCUCAACGAGGAUUUCAAAGUCAACAACGAGAACAAUAGGGAAUAUCAUGAGUCGUUGAAAGAGUUGACCUCGGAGGAGUUGUUAGGAGAAUUGAACGACAUUUGUUCAAAAUGGGAAACUCCGCCCGAGAUUGUUCGUGUUGACCCUAGGCCCAAUUUUGAGAGUUAUGUAGGUGAAUCACCGACAUUUGACUCGUUGUCCCAUCAUUCGCAUAGUGCCUUAGGAAGAGAUGACACUGUUUCUUACAUCAUUCCUAGUGAUUUAUCCCUCGACCAAAAUUUAAUUGUCUCUAAUUUGCUUGAUAAUAAAGAAGCAUUAAGUUGGUUUAGGGAGAACAUUAGUGAUACUUGUCCAACAGGAGUGAAUGAUGGUCACAUGCUAGAGAAAGUCUUUGUGCCUAAAAAUUUUCGUACACAUUUUGACUCUUUCUCGAAGCUUCCUCCCAUAUUUCCUUCCGGAAUCGGCUGAAGUGGAUCCUCCUUCGAACCUUCCCUCGUGAAAUUCAGGUAUGGGGAAGGAAAUGUGUGAGUGUGUGGGUCUUGUUAGUGUUUCGUUCGUUAAUAAAAAUCCCCUUCAUAUCCAUUUCAGGUAUUUUUCUCUUUACUCUCUCAUUUCAAUUUUCUGUUUUGCAUACAUUGAGGACAAUGCAUGAUUUAGGUAUGGGGAGGGCUUUAGUGUAAUUCUAAAAAAUUAAAAACCCUAAAAAAAUGAAAAAUUAGAAAAAUCCAAAAAUAGAGAUACUUUUAGCUAAGUUGUCCUUCCCUCACUCGAACUUUAGGAGUAGUUGGUGUUUAGCAUGUUUUCGAAAAGUAUAUAUAUGUAGUGUCUUUUAGAUAAUUUGAACGUAGUUGAGUAAGGUUGUCUUUUUGAAGCUUGUAUCGACCGAUUUGUACUUUAAAUUCCAAGAUGGCACACACUUUUGCACGAGACCUUUGAUGGAGAGAUUGUCUAGUAAUAUUAUUCGAUACCUGAGAGAGAACCCACAUGUUGAAACAAUGUCGAAUCGAACCUUUGCGAAUAAAAAAAAAAGAAAAAAGAAAUAGAAAAAAAAAAGAAAAAAAAAAGAAGAGAAGGAAUAACUACUUCAAUACCCAUUGUUCUUUAUAGAUAAAAUCUUUAGAUAAAUGGGCAAAAGUAGAUUGGCUAGUCUCGUUUUGUGGCCUUUGUUACUCGAGCAAUUAAGUCCGUAGGGGGAUUUCAAAACCUAGUGCCCUAAGACCGUUUGGUUUGGGAGUCACUGACCCAAAGCUCGCUACAUGGGUAACAUUGUUUGCCUAAGAAAACGGACAAAAUUAAGUCGAUGCAAAAAAAAGAAAAAAAAAGAAAAAAGAGAAGAAUAAGAAUUUGUGAAGUUGGGCUAGAUAUUUGUUUCGAUAGAGAUUGGGUUAGUUCAAAAUUGGUUGAAAAAGAGAAAAUGUUAUUAGACGAUUAGGAUCCAUCAAAGGCCUUAAAUUACUUACACUCCUUGGAUUUCUAGUAAAUUUUUGUGUCGAUUCAAGUAGAUUAGAGACAACUGUAUCUUGAUUAUUAGUAGAUGAGUCUUUAAGUCGUAUUUUCCUUAAAAACGCUUUUUGUUAACACCGACGAAAUUAGGGUAGAGUCGAGUAGACACUUGCUAGAAUGUCUCGAAGAUUUUAUGGGUAUAUCUUCUGUAAACCCUUAGGAGACAAAACUCCUCUUGUAGAGAUCGUCUACGAGUUUAACGGGUUGGUGAACCUAAAAUCACCCGUCACGCCUACGAAAAGGAGCCUAGGAAUCGCAUCUAGUUUUCUUAGUUUAUUUUCUUUUCUUUUGAUUUUUACUCGAGGACGAGCAAAAGAUAGGUAUGGGGAAGUUUGAUUAGUCCAUAUUUUUGCAUAUUUAAGUGCCUAUUUUUUGUUUAUUUUCGUAGUAUUAAUCGCUUAUUUAUUUUAUUUCAGGAAAUUGUAGAUAAAUAAAGAAAGAAGAGAAAAUGCAAGAAAAAGAAAAAAAGGGUUGGCAAGUAAAGGACACAUGGAUGGCCACAAUUCUCCCAACACUCAAGGCACAUGGAUGGUCAAGAUUGAGCCUCCCUACCCCUAAACCCUAAUUCUUUAGUUAUAAAUACCCCUCUUCUUUUACUUGUAAUCACCAACCUAGUAACCUAGCCACCUACUCUCCUUUUCUACCUAGUGAUUUCUAUAGUUAGUAUCUUAGAUAGAUUUACAUUUUGCUAGCCCCAAUUUCCUUUCCAAGUUUGUACACACUUUUUAAUUUCUAUGCAAAUCUCUUUUAUCUUAAUCUUGUAUUGUCUUUUUAAUAUAUGUUCUCCAAGAUUGAAUGACUCUUCUAAGUACCACCACAUGCUUUUAAGCUUUUGGGAAAUGAAGAAUCAUUAAACUUGUGAUUAGUGUAGAUUUCUUACUUUUUAGAUUUAAAUUUUGGUAGAAACUUAAACUCUAGCACAAAAAUGAUUUGUGAGGGGGUUAAAAAUCUAGAUUUAAAGAGCAU